AUAUUUUUCUGCAAUCAUUCAAUGAAGAAGUGUCCAUAUAGCAUGUCCCUCCCUCAAGGAGUGUCAUUCUAGUUAGAAGGGACUUAGAAUUUCUAUCUUUUUUCUUGAGCGCGCUUUCUGGUUUAUAUCCCCAUUCUGUC